rnacentral:rRNA from 1 species
UACGUCGGGGGCAAGCGUUGUCCGGAAUCAUUGGUCGUAAAGAGCGUGUAGGCGGCUCGAUAAGUCUGCUGUGAAAGUCCAGGGCUCAACCCUGGAAGGCCGGUGGAAACUGUCGGGCUAGAGUCCGGAAGAGGCGAGUGGAAUUCCCGGUGUAGCGGUGAAAUGCGCAGAUAUCGGGAGGAACACCAAUGGCGAAGGCAGCGCGCUGGGACGGUACUGACGCUGAGACGCGAAAGCGUGGGGAGCAAACAGG